CUACGGGAGGCUGCAGUGAGGAAUAUUGCACAAUGGAGGAAACUCUGAUGCAGCAACGCCGCGUGGAGGAUGACGCAUUUCGGUGUGUAAACUCCUUUUAUAUGUCAAGAAAAUGACGGUAGCAUAUGAAUAAGCACCGGCUAACUCCGUGCCAGCAGCCGCGGUAAUACGGAGGGUGCAAGCGUUACUCGGAAUCACUGGGCGUAAAGGACGCGUAGGCGGGAUAUCAAGUCAGGUGUGAAAUCCUACAGCUUAACUGUAGAACUGCACUUGAAACUGGUAACCUAGAGUAUGGGAGGGGGAGAUGGAAUUAGUGGUGUAGGGGUAAAAUCCGUAGAUAUCACUAGGAAUACCUAAAGCGAAGGCGAUCUCCUGGAACAUAACUGACGCUAAGGCGUGAAAGCGUGGGGAGCAAACAGGAUUAGAUACCCCCGUAGUC
rnacentral:rRNA from 1 species